rnacentral:rRNA from 1 species
AGAAUGAACGCUAGCGAUAUGCUUAACACAUGCAAGUUGAACGUUGUUUUCGAAUCAGAAUGAGAACAAAGUAGCGAACGGGUGCGUAACACGUGGGAAUCUGCCGAACAGUUUGGGCCAAAUCCCGAAUGAAUAAAAGCUAAAAAGCGCUGUUUGAUGAGCCCACGUAGUAUUAGGUAGUUGGUUAGGUAAAAGCUGACCAAGCCUACGAUGCUUAGCUGGUCUUUUCGGAUGAUCAGCCACACUGGGACUGAGACACGGCCCAGACUCCUACGGGAGGCAGCAGUGGGGAAUCUUGGACAAUGGGCGAAAGCCUGAUCCGGCAAUAUGGCGUGAGUGAAGAAGGGCAACGCAGCUUGUAAAGCUCUUUCAUCGAGUGUGCGAUUGUGACAAGACUCGAAUAAGAACGCCCCGGCUAACUCCGCGCCAGCAGCCGC